rnacentral:rRNA from 1 species
GGACAGAAAGACCCUAUGAAGCUUUACUGUAACUUGGAAUUGGAUUUGGGCUUUUCUUGCGCAGCAUAGGUGGGAGGCAUUGAUGUCAGGUUUGUGGAUCUGAUGGAGCCAUCAAUGAGAUACCACUCUGGAAAAGCUAAAAUUCUAACUUUGAGCCGUUAUCCGGCCAAAGAACAGUUUCAGGUGGGCAGUUUGACUGGGGCGGUCGCCUCCUAAAAAGUAACGGAGGCGUGCAAAGGUUCCCUCAGACUGGUCGGAAAUCAGUCGUAGAGUGUAAAGGCAUAAGGGAGCUUGACUGCAAGACCUACAAGUCGAGCAGAGACGAAAGUCGGCCUUAGUGAUCCGACAGUGCCGAGUGGAAGGGCUGUCGCUCAACGGAUAAAAGUUACUCUAGGGAUAACAGGCUGA